GACGAACGCUGGCGGCGUGCUUAACACAUGCAAGUCGAGCGGCGCGGCGAACGGGUGAGUAACGCGUGAGUAACUGCCCCCCUCUCUGGGAUAACAGUUGGAAACGGCUGCUAAUACCGGAUAGUGGGGGAUGACUCGCGUCCUAUCAGCUUGUUGGUGGGGUGGAGGCCCACCAAGGCGACGACGGGUGGCCGGCCUGAGAGGGCGACCGGCCACUUGGUGCUGAGAUACGGCCCGAACUCCUCGGGGGGGGAGCAGUGGCGAAUAGUGCGCAGUGGGGGAACCCCUGAUGCGGCAGCGCGCGUGCGGGACGGCGGCCUUCGGGUUGUAAACCGCUUUCAGCCAUGACGCGGUAGUGGCAGAAGAAGCACCGGCUAACUACGUGCCAGCAGCCGCGGUAAUAC
rnacentral:rRNA from 1 species